rnacentral:hammerhead_ribozyme from 1 species
AUUCAAUUGACGAGUUCCAAAUAGGACGAAACGUGCUUCCUGGAU